CCCCAAAAAACGAACCAUCCCACGUUCGGAUUGCAGUCUGAAACUCGAGUGCAUGAAGCUGGAAUCGCUAGUAAUCGCAAAUCAGAAUGUUGCGGUGAAUACGUUCCCGGGUCUUGUACACACCGCCCGUCACACCAUGGGAGUUGGAAAUGCCCGAAGUCAGUGACCCAACCUAAGGGAGGGAGCUGCCGAAGGCAGGUUCGAUGACUGGGGUGAAGUCGUAACAAGGUAUC
rnacentral:rRNA from 1 species